ensembl:snoRNA
UUGCACAGUGAACACCCAAAUGAGCUCCAUAGUUUCUUUGGCAUAAUUCUGUGCAAGAAUAAACUGUACUUUACCUCUGCAUUGAAAGGACUAUUUUUCCUUUUACAUGUAUUCAAAAGGACAGUACAAAA